rnacentral:rRNA from 1 species
GAUGAACGCUGGCGGCGUGCUUAACACAUGCAAGUCGAGCGAGAAGUUUUGAAAAGAUUCUUCGGAUGAAAUUUAAAAUGGAAAGCGGCGGACGGGUGAGUAACGCGUAGGCAACCUGCCCCAUACAAAGGGAUAGCAUUUGGAAACGAAUAUUAAUACCUUAUGAAACUUAACUAGUGCAUGCUAGGUAGGUCAAAGAUUUAUCGGUAUGGGAUGGGCCUGCGUCUGAUUAGCUAGUUGGUGAGGUAACGGCUCACCAAGGCGACGAUCAGUAGCCGACCUGAGAGGGUGAACGGCCACAUUGGAACUGAGGCACGGUCCAAACUCCUACGGGAGGCAGCAGUGGGGAAUUUUGCACAAUGGGGGAAACCCUGAUGCAGCAACGCCGCGUGAACGAUGAAGGCCUUUGGGUCGUAAAGUUCUGUUCUAGGUGAUGAAAACUGACAGUAACCUAGGAGAAAGCCCCGGCUAACUCCGUG